rnacentral:rRNA from 1 species
GACGAACGCUGGCGGCGUGCUUAACACAUGCAAGUCGAACGAUGAAGCCGGAGCUUGCUCUGGUGAAUUAGUGGCGAACGGGUGAGUAACCCGUGAGUAACCUGCCCUUGACUCAGGGAUAACUGCGGGCAACUGUAGCUAAUACCGGAUACGACCCUCGGAGGCAUCUCCGGGGGGUGGAAAGAAUUUCGGUCAAGGAUGGACUCGCGGCCUAUCAGCUAGUUGGUGAGGUAAAGGCUCACCAAGGCGACGACGGGUAGCCGGCCUGAGAGGGUGACCGGACACACUGGGACUGAGACACGGCCCAGACUCCUACGGGAGGCAGCAGUGGGGAAUAGUGCACAAUGGGAGCAAGCCUGAUGCAGCAACGCCGUGUGAGGGAUGACGGCCUUCGGGUUGUAAUCCUCUUUUAGCAGGGAAGAAGCGAAAGUGACGGUACCUGCAGAAAAAGCACCGGCUAACUACGUGCCAGCCGCCGCCGUAA